CGGACGGGUGAGUAAUGUCUGGGAAACUGCCUGAUGGAGGGGGAUAACUACUGGAAACGGUAGCUAAUACCGCAUAACGUCGCAAGACCAAAGGGGGGACCUUCGGGCCUCUUGCCAUCGGAUGUGCCCAGAUGGGAUUAGCUAGUAGGUGGGGUAACGGCUCACCUAGGCGACGAUCCCUAGCUGGUCUGAGAGGAUGACCAGCCACACUGGAACUGAGACACGGUCCAG
rnacentral:rRNA from 1 species